AUGUCAGAACCAUAGAACCCUAUUUUAUUAAAAUGUAACAUAAAAUACAAACUUCUCUAAAAAUGGUGAAUCUGUCAAUGGGGGAUAGAUUUACUCAACACCAUGUGACCAUCAAACCACAACUGACAACUUGGCAUGGAAAAAUGUGUCUAUCAACCUCACGUCAAGGCAGCCGAUAUGGGACCACCAGAACUCUAUGAUCUAUCAGCUCUGCUCAACACUCCAAAGGAUAAACAACUGACUGUGUUGAGAAGUCUGACACUAUUUUGGGGGACAUGUUAUUGCAAGAUAUAUGGAUCUCCUUCAGCCUCCAACUCCUAAUAAAAGAUUCAGAAAUGGACAACAAAUAAAUGACUAAAUUGC